CACGUAGGGCGCGAGCGUUGUCCGGAAUUAUUGGGCGUAAAGAGCUCGUAGGCGGCCUGUUGCGUCCGCUGUGAAAGCCCGGGGCUUAACCCCGGGUCUGCAGUGGAUACGGGCAGGCUAGAGGUAGGUAGGGGAGAAUGGAAUUCCCGGUGUAGCGGUGAAAUGCGCAGAUAUCGGGAGGAACACCGGUGGCGAAGGCGGUUCUCUGGACCAUUACUGACGCUGAUGCACGAAAGCUAGGGGAGCAAACAGG
rnacentral:rRNA from 1 species